CAAAAAACAUGGCGGCUAUUUGUUAGUAGAUCUAGGUCCCGCUUCAAGAUUUCAAAAUCAUCAAACGUUCCAGAAAUGCAACAAUUGUAAAAACUUUCAACGCUGUUUUGUUCAUAUGGAUGGGAACAAACACAUGUGUAUGCAUUUUUUAAUAUAAAAGUUUUGUGGCUGUACUUGGCAAGCAAUUUUCUCACACUUUACUGUGGCUAUUGGUGCUGAUCUUGAACUAAAGGUAAAUGGAACAGCAUGGAUGUGGAUUUUUAGACACAAGGAAGCUGAAUUUAACUUUUAAUGAAGAAUUUAAAUGAUAAUUGUCCAUGAAAACUAAUAUUAAUCAUAUACAUUGUAAUGCUGUAUU